rnacentral:rRNA from 1 species
AUUGAACGCUGGCGGCAGGCCUAACACAUGCAAGUCGAGCGGAAACGAGUUAACUGACCCUUCGGGUGACGUUAACGGCGUCGAGCGGCGGACGGGUGAGUAAUGCCUGGGAAAUUGCCCUGAUGUGGGGGAUAACCAUUGGAAACGAUGGCUAAUACCGCAUAAUGCCUUCGGGCCAAAGAGGGGGACCUUCGGGCCUCUCGCGUCAGGAUAUGCCCAGGUGGGAUUAGCUAGUUGGUGAGGUAAUGGCUCACCAAGGCGACGAUCCCUAGCUGGUCUGAGAGGAUGAUCAGCCACACUGGAACUGAGACACGGUCCAGACUCCUACGGGAGGCAGCAGUGGGGAAUAUUGCACAAUGGGCGCAAGCCUGAUGCAGCCAUGCCGCGUGUGUGAAGAAGGCCUUCGGGUUGUAAAGCACUUUCAGCAGUGAGGAAGGCGGGUACGUUAAUAGCGUAUUCGUUUGACGUUAGCUGCAGAAGAAGCACCGGCUAACUCCGUGCCAGCAGCCGCGGUAAUACGGAGGGUGCGAGCGUUAAUCGGAAUUACUGGGCGUAAAGCGCAUGCAGGUGGUUCGUUAAGUCAGAUGUGAAAGCCCGGGGCUCAACCUCGGAACUGCAUUUGAAACUGG